rnacentral:rRNA from 1 species
AUCGAACGCUGGCGGCAGGCCUAACACAUGCAAGUCGAACGAGUGGCGGACGGGUGAGUAAUGUCUGGGAAACUGCCCGAUGGAGGGGGAUAACUACUGGAAACGGUAGCUAAUACCGCAUACCAUCGGAUGUGCCCAGAUGGGAUGAGCUUGUAGGUGAGGUAACGGCUGACAUAGGCGACGAUCCCUAGCCGAUCUGAGAGGAGGACCAGCCAAACUGUGACUGAGACACGGUCCAGACUCCGACGGGAGGCAGCAGUGGGGAAUAUUGCACAAUGGGCGCAAGCCUGAUGCAGCCAUGCCGCGUGUAUGAAGAAGGCCUUCGGGUUGUAAAGUACUUUCAGCGGGGAGGCGUUACCCGCAGAAGAAGCACCGGCUAACUCCGUGCCAGCAGCCGCGGUAAUAC